GCCUAGCCGUAAACCAUAACUUACACCUCAAUCGCCCGGGGACUACGAGCAAAGCUUAAAACCCAAAGGACUUGACGGUACCCCAAAUCCAUCUAGAGGAGCCUGUCCUAUAAUCGAUAACCCCCGCUUAACCUCACCUCUUUUUGCCCGUCAGCCUGUAUACCUCCGUCGUCAGCUUACCACGUGAGUGCUAUUAAGUAAGCCCAAUGUUUUUAUAACAACACGUCAGGUCAAGGUGCAGCUGAUGAAGAGGGAAGAGAUGGGCUACACUCUCUAACCUAGAAAAAACGAAAGGCUACCUAUGAAACCUAGCCAGAAGGAGGAUUUAGUAGUAAAAAGAAAACAGAGCAUUCUUUUUAACCCGGCACUGGGGUGCGUACACACCGCCCGUCACCCUCCUCAUGAAUAAGCCCUAGUACUUAACCCACUAUAAUCAUUGAGAAGAGGCAAGUCGUAACAUGGUAAGUAUACCGGAAGGUGUGCUUGGAUU
rnacentral:rRNA from 1 species